AUAGCCAUGUAUCAGGGGAGAUGCCGUGACCACGAAGGUGGUUUUCCAGGGUGAGGCUUGUCCAUUGCACUCCGGAUGUGCUGACCCCUGUGACUUCCCCAAACGUGGGAAACUCGGCUGCAUAAUUUGUGGUAGUGGGGGACUGCACUGA
ensembl:snRNA U1 U1 spliceosomal RNA